GACGAACGCUGGCGGCGUGCCUAAUACAUGCAAGUCGAGCGAAUGGAAGGGAGCUUGCUCCCUGAAGUUAGCGGCGGACGGGUGAGUAACACGUGGGCAACCUGCCUGUAAGACUGGGAUAACUUCGGGAAACCGGAGCUAUUACCGGAUACGUUCUUUCCUCGCAUGAGGAAAGAUGGAAAGAUGGUUUCGGCUAUCACUUACAGAUGGGCCCGCGGGGCAUUAGCUAGUUGGUGGGGUAAUGGCCCACCAAGCCGACGAUGCGUAGCCGACCUGAGAGGGUGAUCGGCCACACUGGGACUGAGACACGGCCCAGACUCCUACGGGAGGCAGCAGUAGGGAAUCUUCCGCAAUGGACGAAAGUCUGACGGAGCAACGCCGCGUGAGCGAAGAAGGCCUUCGGGUCGUAAAGCUCUGUUGUCAGGGAAGAACAAGUGCCAGAGUAACUGCUGGCACCUUGACGGUACCUGACCAGAAAGCCACGGCUAACUACGUGCCAGCAGCCGCCGUAAGAC
rnacentral:rRNA from 1 species